UACGGGGGGGGCAAGCGUUGUUCGGAAUUACUGGGCGUAAAGGGCGCGUAGGCGGCCUACUAAGUCGGACGUGAAAUCCCUCGGCUCAACCGGGGAGCUGCGUCCGAUACUGGUGGGCUCGAAUCCGGGAGAGGGAUGUGGAAUUCCAGGUGUAGCGGUGAAAUGCGUAGAUAUCUGGAGGAACACCGGUGGCGAAGGCGGCAUCCUGGACCGGUAUUGACGCUGAUGCGCGAAAGCCAGGGGAGCAAACGGG
rnacentral:rRNA from 1 species